rnacentral:tRNA from 1 species
UCCCGUGUGGCUCAGUUGGUAGAGCAUGGUGUUUGCAACGCCAGGGUUGUGGGUUCAAUUCACACGGGGGAC